rnacentral:rRNA from 1 species
UACGGAGGGGGCUAGCGUUGUUCGGAAUGACUGGGCGUAAAGCGCGCGUAGGCGGAUCGUCAAGUCGGGGGUGAAAUCCCGGGGCUCAACCCCGGAAUGGCCUUCGAGACUGGCGGUCUUGAGUUCGAGAGAGGUGGGUGGAAUUCCGAGUGUAGAGGUGAAAUUCGUAGAUAUUCGGAGGAACACCAGUGGCGAAGGCGGCCCACUGGCUCGACACUGACGCUGAGGCGCGAAAGCUAGGGGAGCAAACGGG